rnacentral:lncRNA from 1 species
CUGGGAUUUUGGCAGAAACAUUAAACAAUAGUACAUAUAAUAUUUAUACUGUAAAAAAAACAAGAAAGGGUACAUUUGGCACCUUCUGACAUGCAGUUAUGAUUCUACAAUUGUAAAAGCUGGAUUCAUGGCUCUGAUUCAUUCUAUAAAAUAUAAUCAUAACUUACUUUCAUCAUACAAACAUGAUUUACAAAUGAAAUUUACUAUUCUAAACAUUUAUACUUUAACACAAAUAAUGUUCUGGAUAACAUUUAUAAAUAUAUAUGGAUAAAAAUACAAAAUAGUCAGGUAUUUUCCAGUCUUGGAUCUCAAGCUUUUUUUAAAAUUAAAAAUAACUUAUAUUUCAAAACAUUGAUAUUUAUAUAAGAAGAUGAUCCUUUAACUGAAACUAUAAAUAUUCUUUAAAGAAAAACAAAAUUGUCUGUGAAAUUUAAAAAUCAUCUGACUAACACCAGUAUGUCCUCUCCAUCAAUGUAGUAAAAUCCAAAAGGUUCUUUCAGCUGUUUAUUUAUUAAUAAAUGAUGCUAAACUCAACAAUUUAACCUACUAAAUGAGGCAUAUUAAUUGUUCAUUUGUUGUUUUAACUAAAAAUUAUAAAACAACCUUAAAAAAAGUCCUUUUUUCCUUAAAAAUAUAUAUUAUUUAGAACAGCCAGGAAAGGAACAAGUCUCGUAUUGAAAGAAGGUCUUUUUUAAGACUAUUUCACAAACAUGACAAACCUUUGGCUUUAAUAUAUGCAACCAACAAAAUUCAUAAAAAAAAAAUAAAGACCGUUCUGUUACCUAUAAUGAUUAACUUUUACAAAUUGUGACUUGGAUGGAGAGUUGUCUCAUUGGCACUCAUACCACAUCUUCUUAUAUCUACGUACAUGGUAUUGUUGCCAAUAAGACAAAGGAAAAAGACGUAAACAACUAAAGAUUUUACCUUUAACUGAGCAAAACAUAUACCAUAAUAGUGAGAAUGAAACAAAAAUGUAAAACAUCAUUUUGCAAAUACUCUUAUUAAAGCAGUGACUUUAGUUUGAAAUCUGGACAAUGACUUAUGGACCCUUGAAAAAAAGUUUUGUUUUUGCUAUGUCUAUAUAGCUAAGAGGGCAUUUUGAGAUAUGAAAUUUAUGCAAUUUUAACCUAUAAUGGACUGGAAGGAAAAAGACACAUGUUAUACAGGAUGCAAACACAACCAUACAUAAAAAAUCUUUAAAAAUUUAGAAAUAUUGAAUAGGGUUCACAACUCUAAACACAAUUUUACAUUGCAUCUGAAGAUAAAAUACUGUAAAGUCAGAAAUUAUUGCGAUGUUUUUAUUAUAACAGGGUUAAAAUCACAAUAAUUUAAACUCGCAUUUGAAAUUUUUUUUAUGAAAUAAACAGCAUUUUUCUCAAUAUCACAAAAAUUGAAAUCACAUUUUAGUCCAAAAUGACAAAUUCGCAACAAUAAAUGCACGCAAUAAUUUCUGAAUUUACAGUACCAACUUGCACACACUAUAAAUACGUGCUUAAUUCUAAAUAUACAACUUAAAUAUUAUAAAUAGAUUUUAAAUAAUAGAACAACAUCAUAAAUAAUAUAGGAAUAGAAUAGAUACACAAAAAAAUUUGUAUUCAGAAUAUAAAAUGUAAUGCAAUGCCAGCACUUCAUUUUAAGAAAACAACAUGACGGUCUGAGUACACAGUUAUCGUCCUUUGAUCACAAAUAUAGUCCCUAGUGUGGAGAGUGAGUUACUUGCCAAUCUUUUUUAUCCCCCUUCAAAUUUAUUUCUUUUUGUGUUUUAUGGCUCAAAUAGCAAGUAGGGGAAAAAAUUACACUGAAAAAAUUUGAUUCAGAAAUUUUAAAGUAAAGUAGUGAUUUGGUCAAGCUGAAAAAGGUUAAAAAUAAGCUUUUCGGAAGCUGUGAAAAGAUUUCAAGACCCCCUAAAUAUAAAAUUGCCCAUAUUUUGAGUAAGAGCUGAUGAAGUUUUCUAUAAUUUUGAUAUAAUUUGUCCAAAAAGUAGUACACCACACUGUAAAAAUAUUAUUGAGAAAGCGCAGGUGGGAUUUUUUUAUUUCCAUUUAUUGUCUAUAAGAAGUGCACUACGAAAUAACUGUGUACUCAGACCUGAAGAGUAGAAAUCUUCAUAUUAAAUUUAGUUUACCCCCAAAAAAAUCACAAUAAUUAGUGAGAAAAAAUUAGCUGUCCAUCUGAACAAAAUAUGAAUUUCCUUACAUAAAAAGUUAUUAAAGGUACAUGUACCAGGAUUAUAAUUUAAUACGCCAGAUGCGUGUUUUGUCUACAUAUUAAAGACUCAUCAGUGAUGCUCAGAUCAAAAUAGUUAUCAACCAUUACCAAACAAGUACAUAGUUGAAGAGCAUAAACUACCCUUCAUAUUAGAAGCUAUCUUGAUAUACAAAAAUAUGUAGCCUAGGUGGAGACAAACUUUUUUCAUUUCUGAAACAAAAGGACGAAAGGUUCCAGCCUAAUUUGAGCUUUUUAUAUCAUUAAAAUACAUAUUCCAAAGAUAGAGGGGAAGGUGUUACAACCAACAAAAUCUUCCAUCAAGAAAUUUGACAAUGGUUUGUGACAGCGUUAUUAGUUUUUGUAGUUAAUAUAUGGUUUAAGAGAAGCUAAGGCUUUACAAAAAAUAAAAUACUAAAUGAAAUACAACUUGACUGUGAGGAAUCCCGGUAUAUCAAAUAAGAGGUUUUUAAAAACUUAACUUGCCAAAGAGUCUGUUCAAUUUGUGUUGAUUUCUACCAAAAUAUUUAGAUGGAUCGGAGUUGCAAGGAAAAUUCAAAACAGAAAGUCCCUCAUCAAAUAGCAAAAUCAAAAGCUCAAACACAUACAUUUUUUCCUUAUGUAGAAAAUGGUGGAUAAAACCUGGUUUUGUAGCUAGCUAAACCUUUCAAUUGUCUAAUUUCCAUGUUUGGUACAAAUAGUGAAACCAUAUUGUUAUUUCAUACAUAGUUUAUAUAUUUUAUUUUGGUAUUAUCUGAUCAUUUAUUUCAUUUUUAGUACAUAAGUACAUAUGUAAUAAUCAUAAACAAAUAAAGCUGACAGGGCUGUUUAAAUACACAAUACAAACAGUUGAGUGUAGAUCAAAGCUUCAAAAUAAUAACAAAAGCUACUUUAUAAGGUGGUACCCUAAACCUUUGCUAGUUCAAUUUUCAUAAAAUUUUGACAAGAUAUUUGCUUUGAUCCUUUGAAAGAAAAAAAACUUUCUCGGAAAAAUUUCAUUGAAUAUAUAGCAGUUUGACAAACUCUUACUUU